rnacentral:rRNA from 1 species
AAUAUUGCGCAAUGGAGGGAACUCUGACGCAGCGACGCCGCGUGAGCGAUGAAGGUCUUCGGAUCGUAAAGCUCUGUCCUUGGGGAAGAAGGUCUUCGGACUUGACGGUACCUAAGGAGGAAGCCCCGGCUAACUACGUGCCAGCAGCCGCGGUAAUACGUAGGGGGCAAGCGUUGUCCGGAAUUAUUGGGCGUAAAGGGUGCGUAGGCGGCCUUUUAAGUCAGAUGUGAAAGGCUACGGCUUAACCGUAGUUAGCAUUUGAAACUAAAAGGCUUGAGUGUCGGAGAGGGCAGUGGAAUUCCCAGUGUAGCGGUGGAAUGCGUAGAUAUUGGGAGGAACACCAGUGGCGAAGGCGACUACCUGGACUGAUACUGACACUGAGGUGCGAAAGCGUGGGGAGCAAACA